GCAAAAGCUCAAAUUUGAAAUCUGGCACCUUCGGUGUCCGAGUUGUAAUUUGAAGAAGGUAACUUUGGAGUCAGCUCUUGUCUAUGUUCCUUGGAACAGGACGUCACAGAGGGUGAGAAUCCCGUGCGAUGAGAUGUCUGAUUCUAUGUAAAGUGCUUUCGAAGAGUCGAGUUGUUUGGGAAUGCAGCUCUAAGUGGGUGGUAAAUUCCAUCUAAAGCUAAAUAUUGGCGAGAGACCGAUAGCGAACAAGUACAGUGAUGGAAAGAUGAAAAGAACUUUGAAAAGAGAGUGAAAAAGUACGUGAAAUUGUUGAAAGGGAAGGGUUUGAGAUCAGACUUGGUAUUUUGUAUGUCUUGCUUUCGGGUGGGGCCUCUACAGUUUACUGGGCCAGCAUCGGUUUGGACGGUAGGAUAAUGACAUUGGAAUGUGGCACCACUUCGGUGGUGUGUUAUAGACUUUGUUGAUACUGCCUGUCUAGACCGAGGACUGCGUCUUUGACUAGGAUGCUGGCAUAAUGAUCUUAAACCGCCCGUCUUGAAACACGGACCAAGGAGUCUAACGUCUAUGCAAGUGUUUGGGUGUAAAACCCGUACGCGUAAUGAAAGUGAACGUAGGUGAGAGCUCUUUUGAGUGCAUCAUCGACCGAUCCUGAUGUCUUCGGAUGGAUUUGAGUAAGAGCAUAGCUGUUGGGACCCGAAAGAUGGUGAACUAUGCCUGAAUAGGGUGAAGCCAGAGGAAACUCUGGUGGAGGCUCGUAGCGGUUCUGACGUGCAAAUCGAUCGUCGAAUUUGG
rnacentral:rRNA from 1 species